GUAAAUGAAAAUGUAAAUGAAAAUGAAGGUUAUAAUGACGGUCAAGAAGAUGACAAAAAUGAUGAAAAUAAUGUUUUGUCAAAAGAAAAAAAUUUAAAAUAUUCAAAAAAAAAAAUGUUACCGUUUUUACCUAUCGAAACACAUAAAUUAGCAAAGUUUUGUAAUGUUAUAAGAGAUUAUGAAAAAGAUUAUAAUUUAAACUUGUCUGUACAUAGUCAAUGGUUACCUGUUUUAUUUAAUAUGCCAAUUGUUAAUAAAUUACCACAUUGGGUUAAAAAAUGUAAAUAUUGUUGUUUCAAAAUGACUGAGUUGAAUAAUAUUCAAAAUAGUAAAGAAAGCAUCACUUCUUUUUUAUCUAAUCAUCAAGAAAAUGAAAAACAAACGGAAGAUAAAACAGAAAAUAAAAUAGAGGAUAAAAUAGAGGAUAAAAUAGAGGGUGAUAUUAAGAAAGGUAAGAAUAAUAAUAGUAAUGAAAAUAUUGAUGAAAAAGAUGAAACGAAUAAUGAACGUGAUAAAAAACAGGAUGAUGGUGAUGGUGAUGAUGUAGAAAAUAAUAAUAAAAAUGAUAAAAAUGACAAAAAUGAUAAAAAUGAUAUGAACGAAUAUAAUGACUCAAAUGUUGAUGGAAAUAAUGAUAACGAAAAAAAUACAGAUGUUGAAGAAAAAGAAAAUGAUAAAGAUAAAAAUGAUCAAAAAGAUAAUAAUAAUAAUAAUAAUCAAAAAAAUAAAAAAAAAAAUAAAGAAAAAAAAGAAGAUACUGAUGAAUAUAAUGUUUUAAAAAUACCACCACAAGUUUUUGAUUAUCCAAUUGAUCAAUUAGGUCAUGUAAAUGAAUGCUUUUUAUUUAAACUUUAUUCUAUUAAUAGUAAAAGUAUUUUAAUUUCAAGACUAACAUUAAAAUAUGAUCCUAGAAUAUCAGGAUGGAAAGGAGAUAAUAAAAUUAAAAAAGAUAUGAUAAACAAUAUGUCUAUGAAUAUGAACAAUAUGUCUAUGAAUAUGAAUAAUAUUUCGAUGAAUAUGAAUAAUAUGCCUAUGAAUAUGAAUAUAAUGAAAAAUAUGAACAUGAUGAACAUGCAUAAAUAUAAAGGUGGUAAAUACAAAAAUAAUAAAUCAGUUAAUCCAAAUAUUGCAAGUAUGACAAACAUGGCCAACAUAACAAAUAUGGCAGCUGGAAUGACAGGCAUGACAAACAAUAUGAUGAAUCCAUACAUGAAUGGCACAUAUAACCCUAAUUAUCGAAACAAUAUGUAUGACCAAAAUAUUCCUAUUCCACCUCCCAUGAAUAAUUUUAACAAAAAAAUGUACCAAGGACAUAAUAUGAACAUUAAAAGAAAAAACGAUUUAUACAAUUGUGAUAGCAUGGAAAAGUGCUACGAUAACUAUAAUAUGAAGGAUAACUACAAAUCAGAUGACGAUAGCUGUAAGAACUUCAUUUCUUAGUUUUAAUACGUGUGUAAUAUAAACUUUGUUUUGUGUAUAAUAUAAGCGUUUUAAUAAAAAAAAAAAAAAAAAAACUAGCA
rnacentral:lncRNA from 1 species